CAACAUACCUUCUAGAUACCAUGAUCACAAAGAAGGUUUCCUAGGGUGAGGCUCAUCCAUUGGACUGUGGGUGUGCUGACCCAUGCAAUUUCCUUACAUGUGGGAAACUUGACUGCAUAAUUUGUAGUAUUGGGGGACUGCGUUCGCACUUUCCCCGG
ensembl:snRNA U1 U1 spliceosomal RNA